rnacentral:rRNA from 1 species
UACGUAGGUGGCAAGCGUUGUUCGGAAUUAUUGGGCGUAAAGGGCGCGUAGGCGGCCAUUCAAGUGACGGGUGAAAGCCCUCGGCUUAACCGAGGAACUGCCUGUCAGACUGGAUGGCUUGAGACCGGGAGAGGUGAGUGGAAUUCCCAGUGUAGCGGUGAAAUGCGUAGAUAUUGGGAGGAACACCAGUGGCGAAGGCGGCUCACUGGACCGGAACUGACGCUGAGGCGCGAAAGCGUGGGGAGCAAACAGG